UAGCUAGUUGGUAGGGUAAAGGCCUACCAAGGCGACGAUCGGUAGCUGGUCUGAGAGGAUGGCCAGCCACACUGGAACUGAGACACGGUCCAGACUCCUACGGGAGGCAGCAGUGGGGAAUAUUGGACAAUGGGGGGAACCCUGAUCCAGCAAUGCCGCGUGUGUGAAGAAGGCCUGAGGGUUGUAAAGCACUUUCGGUGGGGAGGAGGUUACUUAGGUUAAGAGCUAGAGUAAUGGACGUUACCCACAGAAGAAGCACCGGCUAACUCCGUGCCAGCAGCCGCGGUAAUACGGAGGGUGCGAGCGUUAAUCGGAAUUACUGGGCGUAAAGGGUGCGUAGGUGGUUUGUUAAGUUAUCUGUAAAAUCCCUGGGCUCAACCUGGGCAGGUCAGAUAAGACUGAUAGACUCGAGUAUAGGAGAGGGUAGUGGAAUUUCCGGUGUAGCGGUGAAAUGCGUAGAGAUCGGAAGGAGCACCGGUGGCGAAGGCGGCUACCUGGCCUAAUACUGACACUGAGGCACGAAAGCGUGGGGAGCAAACAGGAUUAGAUACCCUGGUAGUCCACGCUGUAAACGAUGUCAACUAGCUGUUUGUUACAUAAAAGUAAUGAGUAGCGC
rnacentral:rRNA from 1 species